UACGUAGGGGGCAAGCGUUGUCCGGAAUCAUUGGGCGUAAAGCGCGUGUAGGCGGUCCGGUAAGUCGGUUGUGAAAGUCCAGGGCUCAACCCUGGGAUGCCGACCGAUACUGUCGGACUAGAGUUCGGAAGAGGCGAGUGGAAUUCCCGGUGUAGCGGUGAAAUGCGCAGAUAUCGGGAGGAACACCUAUGGCGAAGGCAGCUCGCUGGGACGUUACUGACGCUGAGACGCGAAAGCGUGGGGAGCAAACAGG
rnacentral:rRNA from 1 species